GCACAAGCGGUGGAUCAUGUUGUUAAUUCGAUGAUACGCGAGAACCUUACCAGGUCUUGACAUCCCCCGCAAUGCUAUGGAGACAUAGCGGAGGUAUUCGGGGAGACAGGUGGUGCAUGGUUGUCGUCAGCUCGUGUCGUGAGAUGUUGGGUUAAGUCCCGCAACGAGCGCAACCCUUAUUGCUAGUUACCAUCAUUGAGUUGGGGACUCUAGCGAGACUGCCAGUGAUAAACUGGAGGAAGGUGGGGAUGACGUCAAAUCAUCAUGCCCCUUAUGACCUGGGCUACAAACGUGAUACAAUGGCUGAAACAGAGGGAGGCGAAGGGGUGACCUGGAGCGAAACCCAGAAAAACAGUCUCAGUUCGGAUUGAAGUCUGCAACUCGACUUCAUGAAGUCGGAAUCGCUAGUAAUCGCGGAUCAGAACGCCGCGGUGAAUACGUUCUCGGGGUUU
rnacentral:rRNA from 1 species